CACUCUUUAUACAUAUAUAUAUUUAUGUAUUUAUGUUUAUGUGUGUGCGCACACACACACACACACCCAUAUCUAUUAUUUUUCUUUUUUCCCCUCCUUUUCCCAUCAAUGAAUUCCCAUACGUUCCACAGGAAGAGUGUUUUAAAACUCAGUUCCUUGCCCAGACCAGUGUCAGUUAGUACCACCCUCUUCUGGAUUCAGUUCAAAUUCCUGAAAAAACAAGGGUCAGAAAAGGAAGCCAAUGAAGGGUUCCUUUUGCCUGAGCUCUGGCCUAGAGGUGUGGUUCACUCUUAAGCAAUUUUCUUCUAAAAUUGGGGGGAAGGGGAGUAACUUGCUGCCCAUCGCCCCACCUUUAAAAAAUUGACAAGGAGCUUCUUCUGGCUAAAAUUAUCUGCAUUGAGGACAUUCCAAAAAAAACACUGGGAGCAGAAGAUAACGUUCCUCCAUGCCUACCACCACUCCACCACAUUUCUGAACUGUGACUCCUAUUCCUCUAGUCAUUUCCUUAGCAUCACCCUCCAGCACAGCUUACGGCAAUCCUCUCCCUGGCUUCUACCACACAAUGAAUAAAGCACAGGCUAGAUGGAGUCCAAGUAAUCCCACGUCUCCUCCUUGGCAAUGGUGUAGGGAGAGAAGACAGCCUACAUGUGGAUGUAUUCUAAGGGCAGAAAAGCCUCCCUCCUAUGUCUGUUUUCCCCUCCUCACACCUUUACUGGUGGAAAGAACACUGACAGCCACAACUGUACAAGAAUUCAAUCUGCUCUGCAAGGUACCCAGUUCAGAUGCUUAUCCAAGUGCUUGGUUAACGUGAUCUCCCUUCUACAGCCCAGACUGUGCUUGAAUUCUAUUACCCUGAUUUCCUCCUGGUAGUCAGGAGUAGGGGAAGCUAUAGAAAUGAUCUGGGCCGCAGCCCCUAUGGGGAGGAAUGUAGCCCAAAAGACUCUUGUUAAGAAUCAGGUUAUUUGGCAUAAAAAUUUCCAAAUACAAACAUGGGAGGUUCAAAGGACUAGGGGGCUAGGGCUAUAUCACACGAACCCACAGGAACAGAAAACUGGGAAGUCUACACAAACUAAAAUUACUAAGAAACCAUCUGUGUCUGUAAUGAUAUUAUUCAAAAUAUCACAAAGGCAAGUCUUCUCUGGUGCUGUCUCUUCCAGGAAAACAAAUGUUCCCUAGAACAACACACAUUGUACUUCACAAGUUCAAAAGGGCCGACAGGUCAAGAUUACAAGAACAGGUCAGGCUAUCAGGCAAGAACUAUGAAAUCCUGCCCUUUUUCAGAUGCCUAGAAUUUAAAAAGCAAAGAAUGGAACCAGAUUUGGAAGAAACUCAUAAAAUCUAAGUCCCCAAACAGCUCACCAGUAGUUACCAAAAUGGAAUAGAAGAUAACAGGCUAUGGGGGCGGGGGUGUACAGUUUCCAUGACAACAAGCUGGCUCGGGCAGUUUCUCCCACAAACCAGCAUUUACAAUAGAAUUCUUCCCAAGGCUGCAAAGGGCGGAGGAGAAAACACAUCUUGGUGGCUUCGCAAGAGCAUGUGCACACUGAGCAAGCCUGUAUCAAAAGAACCCUUGACAGGAGGUCCAGCAAAAGCUUCAGAGACCCCCCUUGGAGCUGGGAGGGGGGGCAGUCCCUGUUCUCUUUUUCCUUCUCCCACAGAGAAUCAGUUCUCUUUCCAAUUAAACAAAGGCUUGCAGAAUCAAGAUGUUACUACGUUUAAAACAGUAAGGGAAGACACCUGACUUUUCCUUCAAGAGGGAACCCAUGCACAAUGCCCGUCCCUUACAGGUCAGUGAGGUUAUACCAAGACAUUGUGUGGGACUAACUUCUGCAAAACCAAACGGGAAACACACCCUUGGGAAACAUUAAACUUUAUGCUAUUCUAAUCAUCCUAGGUUUAGCACGUCCAGAUGUGGCUUUGAUCUUUCAGAGCCUGCCCAUCUUUGCCAGGCUUGAAGGAUACCUUCCAGUUCUUCUUUCAGGUAACAGGAUUCUCCACUGGCCAGGAAGCAAAGAUCCCAAGGGAGGAGGUGGGAACACAGAAGCUUUUUGGUUACUUUAGAAGAUGGCCAACCAGAGUUUCAGCUCUGAAAAGUUUGGUUUAAAUGCUACCAUCCUCCAGGCCGGAAACAUUUCUCCAAGUAAGCCAAUGCCCCUCAAAGCAAGAAACUAACAGGACACUGGCGCUUGAAGGCAGAUGAUCAGGCCCAAGGAUCCCCACGGAGGGGAUGAGCCUAAAUCUGGCAUUCUGCUACUCUGGGGUGUCUCUUUUUGGACAAAAGCCACAGUUGAAAUUCAAAGAAAACAAGUAAUGGAAAAGUUAGGCUUGAGCCCUGAGAGUAAAGGACUGCUCCAGUUCACUGUGCUCACGAAUGUUUCUAACCAGGGAGCUACUGUGUCCUCAGGGACUUUAAAUUUCACCAGGGGGAGGAGGCAAGUUGGAAGGAAGGGAGCAGAGCUAUCUGCCCCAGGGUAAACAAAGGUGGAGUCUAAACGGAGGCACUCGGAGCAAAGGGCUAUUUGCCUCUCCUCUUUGAGUGUGUGCUCUAGCAUGAAGGGAAGAGAAAUGUAAUUAGCAGAAGAGCAAAUCUAAACCAAGAAAGGUGAUAACAGCCUGUUGCUCAGUCCCCCAGACCCCACAAACAGGAGUCACACAAUAGUCAAACAUUCUAACCCCCUCCAGAGACUAGGAAUUUGGGAAUAAGGCCAGAAUCAAACCUGGUCAAAGCUCACUUACUCUUUCAAUAGUAAUCCUAAAUUUUUUGGACCUGAAAAAAAAGGGGGGGAAAUACCCGGGGAGGUUAGCAGAGGCACUAAAAAACAGAUAGCUGUACACUUAAAAAAUGGUUAAAACGGUAAAAUUUACAUUACGUGGAUUUUUACCAAUACCCAACAACAAAAACAUAAGGAAAAAGACUGCAUUUAAAUAUUGUUGCCCUCUGUUUAAGUUUAGUAAGUAGUGCAAAGGAGAUUCAAAAUUGAGAGUGGAUUUGUCAAGGUGCUACAUUAUAAAAGGGAGGUCUCCAGGCCAAAAGCAGAAAAGGAUGGACACCAGAACAACUCCUAGUCUCAGCUUUGAUCUCAUCCAUCUUCCCAACAAUGGGCUGAUGUUCACACAAAGCAACCAGAAAAAUAAUUAAGUGCCAAUCGCACUGAGAGCAUGCAAUACCAUCAGGGAGCACUGAGCUCCCAGCUCCAGAGGCAGGAGGAGCCUGUAAAACCCACAUUUCAGAAUGCCCUAAGAGGAUAACAGGUAGCCCAAGAAACACCCCUACUUCCUUCACUUGAGGGGUUCAAAGUUCACCACAGCAGAGAAAGAUCAGUCUCUCUCCAGCUGGGGAGUGGAAGAUACUGGUUUCAUCAGUAUUUAACUAUCACCCUACUUCCCCAUUUGGGGACUUCCUUGCUAGACCUCAACUCUGCGAGCAAAUUUAGCAGCCUCUGAGUGAGGGAGCAGCUUAACACCUGAAAGGCACUGGCUCUUGUGUCUGGAGUCAUAGGAGUCCCAAAGCAGGGUGGGGGGAAAAUAUGAGACAAAUUUUCCUGCAAGGAAAACUGCCAAAUCCUGGGGGGUCGGUCGGGGGAAAAGGGUAUCUAUCAUCCACCCUAGAGCUAUUCCUAAACGUUGAGACUAAGACUCUGCCGCUCCAUACAUGGCUAGUUCACUCAGCCAUCUUCUGUCUUCCCCUUUAAGGGGAUCUAGGCUCCAGAACAAAGGAGAGGAAAAAAUAUCACUAGUCAUAGUCACCCAGCCAGUCCAUCACACUUGCACUGAUAAUUAAAAGUUACUGGCAUAAUAGAGAGGAAAAUCCCGAGAGAAAAGAUGACCAAGGACAACCUCCCAGUAUUUCCACACCUAUUAUAAAAAGAAAUGAGUAUUCUGACAACCUUUAAAUGUUAACGUGAGGGGCGGCUAACCCCUCCCUUUCCCCCUAAAUUAAGUCUCAGCCACUUGCAGAGGAGCAGCCAAAAAGAAAGAACGAAAAAAAAAAAAACAGGGAAAGAACAAAAAUUCCAAAAAAACCACAAGCGUUCUUUCAUUAAACCUUCAAAUUCCAGCAACAGUUACUUUCCUCUACGGCCUCAAGAUUCUCCAAAACCAAACCUCAACGAAGGGGAGCAGCUCCACCCAUCAGACUGCACCCUGGACCUUGGAAAAUCUUACGGUUUACUACAACUAGUAUCUCUUCUGAACAAAAAGGCAGUUUCAAGACUCGCCAUUCAUUCCAUCAACAUGUUAUGUUCUGACUUGAACAAAUACAUAUUUACUGAACUAAAAAAACAAAGACACUGGUGGAUAACUGGGAAAGUAUCGAGUAACAUCACUAGACGUCUCUCAGAACUCAUUACUUUGUCUCCAUCAACCAGAAACGACACAAAUCGGCACUCCCAUUCGAUCGAUUCUCCGCCACAUACACCAUUAUCAGCUCUCUUGAAAAUGUACUUGACUGGUUCAGCUUGCACUGAUCACACUUCAGCAAUAAAGACUUGAUUCUGGCAAGUUCCUGCCUUCCAGGUCACCAUGGGUAGAGCCAGGCAAGUUUUGUUGGCUCCUACAUUUGCACUAACAGAGAGUGAAGAAGUACAUUCUCUUUCUUUCUCGCUUCAUGUCGAUUGAGUGUGUGUUUAGCUGUGGCAAGGGCUCCCCCCUAAGAGAAAUGGGCCCCAGGCCGGAGGAUGAGGCGGUGCUGUGGCCUCAGCCUCCUCCAGGGAGGGCACCGCGCUUCCUCUCGGCCGACUGCUGCCUCAUUUCCUGAGCAGGAGGAGGGAGGGGCGGAAAAGCUGCUACCGAGCCAGGCCGGGGGCUUUCCGGCGGUUCCCACCCCCCAAGUCCCCACCCUUGUACGGUCAAGCCUGCACGCCCGAGCACCCAGUUCCCCUCGAUCGCUCGACGUCCAACAGAAGCUAAGCCCCACCCAUCCUCCGGACUCCAACUUCAUCUCUGACUCUGCCGGCUGAGGACCGUGCUCCGUCGCAAAAAAAGAGACCCACUUGGAGUCCCGGCUGCUCCCGCGUCUGCCCCUUCCUCACGCGCCUCGCCCUCUAGGUGCUAAGAAAAGCCUAGACUCUCUGGGCCUCAUCUUCAAAAGAGCCCCACUCUGCAGCCUCCUUCCAAAGUCCUCUAAGGAAUUACCAAGGAAGAGUAGAGUUCUGAGCCUCAGGAAUCUCAACCCUGAUGACCUAAGAACCUCUACAGCUCUCUUUGGAAGUCUGAUCAGGACUUUGGAAGCAGAAAUGAGACGGUGUCAUCUGGGUGCUGAUCAGCAGGGGGCACUAUUGCACCUCCUUUUGCCGUAGUGAAGGGGAGAAAGACCUGAUCUUAGACGUUGAGAGCACCACUGCGUUCCUCAGGCUAGUAAAUUUGAACAUAAUCUUCUCUUGAUCCAAGGGAACAGGUGGAUUGACUCCUGAUAGCCUUUAAAAGUAUGAUGGAUGGGCAGCAAGGGACCCAAUGCUAUUGCUUUCCUGGUGAUCACAAUACAACAAAAUAUUAACAGGUGUAUAUAUCCAUCCUGUCCCAUCCUUCCCAAGUCCUCUCCUUAAAAAAAGUAUGUGGAUGCUGUCCUAACCAUGGCACUCUCCUUCCCCCUUGUUUUACACUUCUUGUUUUAAUCAGCUUCUGAUUUCAUCUUGGACUGAAAGGAUCCUUAGACAUGGUUACACAAUGAUGUGAAUGUUUGUACUGCCACUAACUGUACACUUAAAAUGGUUAAAAUGGUGAAUUUUAUAUUAUGUAUUUGUAUUGUCACAAUAAGAAAAGGGGGAAAAAAGGAUCUUAGACAAACUCAGAGAUUAAAAAAAAAAAGACGUAGUUUGGACUGAACUUGUCACACCUUUGCCCUUUCCUGUUCAAGCAGUCCUAGCAAAUCUUAUGCUUUCCAGAAAGUCUUCUCAGAUAACCAGAAUUCCCUGUGUAAACAUGCAGUUAUUGACUCCCUCCUCCACCUCUUCCCCUUGUAAUUUGCUCUGUUUAUUUGUUAUUGAUCUCAAGGUCAGAAGCUGAGCUAUGACCUUCUUUCACAUUGGAAAAGCAUAUUCCCCUUAAAGAUGCAUAUAUAAUGUUACUGAUGACUCUGACCCUUGCUCUCUACUUUAACCCUUGUUGCCUCCUCCUUAAUCAGCACUUUUCCCAAUUCCUGUAAACAUCUCACUUUCCCAUAAACUCACUCCCAAACUUUUUCUGUAAAAGGCCACACGGUAAAUAUUUCUGCCUUUGCGGGUGUAGCAGCUACUCUGUUGUAGAGAGGCCUGGAGACAAUAAGUGAACCUGCAUGGCGAUGUUCCAAUAAAACUUUGUACA